UCCUACGGGUGGCUGCAGUGGGGAAUCUUGCGCAAUGGGCGAAAGCCUGACGCAGCAACGCCGCGUGGAGGAAGAAGGCCUUCGGGUUGUAAACUCCUGUCAGGGGGAAAGAAGGCACCUGGGUUAAUAGCCCAAGGGCUGACGGUACCCCCAGAGGAAGCCACGGCUAACUACGUGCCAGCAGCCGCGGUAAUACGUAGGUGGCGAGCGUUGUCCGGAAUUAUUGGGCGUAAAGAGCGCGUAGGCGGCUUGGCAGGUCCGACGUGGAAUCCCGGGGCUCAACCCCGGACGUGCAUCGGAAACCGGCUUGCUAGAGUCUGGGAGAGGGAAGUGGAAUUCCUGGUGUAGCGGUGAAAUGCGCAGAUAUCAGGAGGAACACCGGUAGCGAAGGCUGCUUCCUGGAACAGUACUGACGCUGAGGCGCGAAAGCUAGGGGAGCAAACAGGAUUAGAUACCCUUGUAGUCGCA
rnacentral:rRNA from 1 species